rnacentral:lncRNA from 1 species
GAAGAUAGUAAAAAGGUACUGCAUUAUUAAGGAAAGGACCGGACAUAUGGGGAGAGGGUGCAGGCGCCCGGUUUUUCAAAACAAAUGGUGUGUGUACUAAUGUUUGAGGACAUGCUCCUGAAAAUGGUCCACGGGGUGAAACCAAAACGAAGAGUUUCUGCUAUGAGCCAACAACCCACGCGUCGUGCAUCUCACGCGAAAAACAAUGGUGGUAGGACCAAGGAAGCUGCCAAGCAAAGCUAAAAGCCUAGGUAUAGGAUCGCUCUGCUUGCUUCCCCAUACCUCGUCGAUAAUGACGCGCUGCCGCUAGCUGUAGAGUCGUUCAGUUGCUGUUGCUCGCCAUUGUCCAUCUCCUCUGGAUCUCCAUCCCGAUAUCGCUCGUGUAAUCUCUUCUUUGUCCCGAUCGGAGGAUCAUGGGUCGUGCAUAGAGUGUAGACCCAAGAUAGCGACGGAGGCAGCCCAGGGACCGGGGGAUCCGAUCCUCCGAUCCCAUCCAGCUCGUCGUAAAGUUUGUGGCUCCGCCGCCGCUGACUACAAUUCGGCGCCGCCGGCGUAUAUCUUCUCCGAUCCUUCGCGCCCACAACCACAAGACCAUAGGUUUGUCUUGUCUUUGUCCCCGCCGAGUCGCCGUAUACGUACACACAUACGCUUAUCCACUAUACCACACGGUUGUCCACGCUGUACACAGAUACAGCCGGUGGUAUAUCUUGUUGAGAUACGCCUAUCCGCAGCACCGCGCAAAUACUGUACUUGAUAUUCUGAUGCGAUUGACAAAACUAGACCUGUC